rnacentral:rRNA from 1 species
UACGGGGGGGGCAAGCGUUGUUCGGAAUUACUGGGCGUAAAGGGCUCGUAGGUGGCCAACUAAGUCGGACGUGAAAUCCCUCGGCUUAACCGGGGAACUGCGUCCGAUACUGGCAAACUAGAGUACUGCAGGGGAGACUGGAAUUCCUGGUGUAGCGGUGAAAUGCGCAGAUAUCAGGAGGAACACCGGUGGCGAAGGCGGGUCUCUGGGCAGUAACUGACGCUGAGGAGCGAAAGCGUGGGGAGCGAACAGG